AUUGAACGCUGGCGGCAUGCCUUACACAUGCAAGUCGAACGGUAACAGGUUAAGCUGACGAGUGGCGAACGGGUGAGUAAUAUAUCGGAACGUGCCCAGUCGUGGGGGAUAACUACUCGAAAGAGUGGCUAAUACCGCAUACGACCUGAGGGUGAAAGCGGGGGAUCGCAAGACCUCGCGCGAUUGGAGCGGCCGAUAUCAGAUUAGGUAGUUGGUGGGGUAAAGGCUCACCAAGCCAACGAUCUGUAGCUGGUCUGAGAGGACGACCAGCCACACUGGGACUGAGACACGGCCCAGACUCCUACGGGAGGCAGCAGUGGGGGAAUUUUGGACAAUGGACGCAAGUCUGAUCCAGCCAUGCCGCGUGCGGGAAGAAGGCCU
rnacentral:rRNA from 1 species